AGAGUUUGAUCCUGGCUCAGGACGAACGCUGGCGGCGUGCUUAACACAUGCAAGUCGAACGGAAAGGCCCUGCUUGCAGGGUACUCGAGUGGCGAACGGGUGAGUAACACGUGGGUGAUCUGCCCUGCACUUCGGGAUAAGCCUGGGAAACUGGGUCUAAUACCGGAUAGGAGCCAUUUUUAGUGUGAUGGUUGGAAAGUUUUUUCGGUGUAGGAUGAGCUCGCGGCCUAUCAGCUUGUUGGUGGGGUAAUGGCCUACCAAGGCGGCGACGGGUAGCCGGCCUGAGAGGGUGGACGGCCACAUUGGGACUGAGAUACGGCCCAGACUCCUACGGGAGGCAGCAGUGGGGAAUAUUGCACAAUGGGCGCAAGCCUGAUGCAGCGACGCCGCGUGGGGGAUGACGGCCUUCGGGUUGUAAACUCCUUUCGCUAGGGACGAAGCUUUUGUGACGGUACCUAGAUAAGAAGCACCGGCUAACUACGUGCCAGCAGCCGCGGUAAUACGUAGGGUGCGAGCGUUGUCCGGAAUUACUGGGCGUAAAGGGCUCGUAGGUGGUUUGUCGCGUCGUCUGUGAAAUUCCGGGGCUUAACUCCGGGCGUGCAGGCGAUACGGGCAUAACUUGAGUACUGUAGGGGUAACUGGAAUUCCUGGUGUAGCGGUGAAAUGCGCAGAUAUCAGGAGGAACACCGAUGGCGAAGGCAGGUUACUGGGCAGUUACUGACGCUGAGGAGCGAAAGCAUGGGUAGCGAACAGGAUUAGAUACCCUGGUAGUCCAUGCCGUAAACGGUGGGCGCUAGGUGUGAGGGUCUUUUUCACGACUUUCGUGCCGUAGCUAACGCAUUAAGCGCCCCGCCUGGGGAGUACGGCCGCAAGGCUAAAACUCAAAGGAAUUGACGG
rnacentral:rRNA from 1 species